rnacentral:rRNA from 1 species
UACGUAGGUGGCAAGCGUUGUCCGGAUUUACUGGGCGUAAAGAGCGCGCAGGCGGCCAAGUCAGUCGAAUGUGAAAGCCCCCCGGCUCAACUGGGGAGGGUCAUUCGAUACUGCUCGGCUCGAAGACAGGAGAGGGAAGUGGAAUUCCCGGUGUAGUGGUGAAAUGCGUAGAUAUCGGGAGGAACACCAGUGGCGAAGGCGACUUUCUGGCCUGUUCUUGACGCUGAGGCGCGAAAGCUAGGGGAGCAAACGGGG